rnacentral:rRNA from 1 species
AUGCCACGGAGAUUCUCGAUGGAGGGUCUCCCAGAGGCACUGCUUGCAGAGAUCGUCAAGAGGGUUACCAAGACAAGUGAUCGUAAUUCUCUUUCCCUCGUGUCGAAGCAGCUCUGCACCGUCGAGGCGGAGCAUAGGGAUGCUAUCCGUGUUGGCUGUGGACUCGGCCCUAGUACAGAAGCCUUGGUAUCGCUGUUCUCCCGGUUCCCCAAUUUGACGAAAGUAGAGAUCAAUUAUUCUGAAUGGAAGCCCAGUGAUGGGGGCCAGUUGAAAAACAAAGGCCUCCUUGUUCUAUCAUCUCGCUGCCUACAUCGAUGA